ensembl:lncRNA
GGCCGACCUGAAAAUGUCUUUCUGCCUGCGCUGCCGUCUUCAGCUCUGAUGUCACUGAGUGAUGCUCCUCCCUGCUCUGCGUCAGCCGUCACUCCACCUUCUCCCAGCUUUACUGCUUUAUUUCUGCGCUGGGCUCCAGUUUGAGCUCAGCUCUCCCCUCAGUCUCAGCACAGAGCGAAUAAUGGAGACAACACCAGUUGGCUUUGCUGCUCCAGGUUAUGCUCCACCUGCAGCUCCACCUGGACUGGAAUACCUCACACAGGUGAGAGUCUAACCACACCAAACACAUUUUUGAGUGUUAUUUCUUUUUUAUUCUUUACUUUAAUUUUUUUCAUUUUGUUAUUAUUCCCUACAUUGGAAUGUGUUAACAUGCAGCAUCGUUACAUUAAUAAUUGCUGUUGAUUAAUUCAAUAAUAACUUAUACAGUUUAAGCUGGAUUACUGUAAGAUAAACAGGAGAGGGCAUUUAUUCAAUAUUAAAAUUUGGGGAAUUCCAAAAAAAAUGGUUAAACAGCAGGUAAUAGACUGGUAAUGAUCUAUUUAUCAUAUUUCUUACCUCACAAGGACUGAACUACCCCCCCCCCCCCUUCACACACACACUCUAUAGACACACACACCUCUUUUGAUGCUGUAUCUGGAUCAUUGCUGCUACACUGUUUUCGCUGUUUUCCUCAGGUUUUCCUACCUCAGUAGCCGCCGUGUUUCCGUCUGUUAUCUCACUGCGUUCCGUGAUGUUCCCGGAGGAACGUAAUUUCACUCCACUGUGUAUCUGUACAGAGAUGGAAUGACAAUAAAAGCCUCUUGACUUGAAACCAAUUUUCAAAUGUAAGACAUUCUGGACGUUAAUUUUAUUAGAAUUUCAUUCUGAAUAUUAAUUUUACUAGAAC